UGGUGGAGUGAUUUGUCUGGUUAAUUCCGAUAACGAACGAGACCUUAACCUGCUAAAUAGUCAGGCCGGCUUUUGCUGGUCGCAGACUUCUUAGAGGGACUGUCAGCGUCUAGCUGACGGAAGUUUGAGGCAAUAACA
rnacentral:rRNA from 1 species